AUGUCCAUAUCUACCUCAAUACUCCAGUAUCCCUGCCUAUGUCCAUAUCUACCUCAAUACUCCAGUAUCCCUGCCUAUAUGUCCAUAUCUACCUCAAUACUCCAGUAUCCCUGCAUAUAUGUCCCUAUCUACCUCAAUACUCCAGUAUCCCUGCAUAUAUGUCCAUAUCUACCUCAAUACUCCAGUAUCCCUGCAUAUAUGUCCCUAUCUACCUCAAUACUCCAGUAUCCCUGCAUAUAUGUCCCUAUCUACCUCAAUGUUCCAGUAUCCUUGACAACAUGUCCAUAUCUACCUCAAUACUCCAUUACCCCUGCACAUUGUAAAUGUGGUACUGGCAGUGACCCUGUAUAUAUCUUCCUCUCUGAGGUACUGAACACUGAGCCAGUAUAAAGCUUCAUCUCUGAGGUACUGAACACUGAGCCAGUAUAAAGCUUCAUCUCUGAGCUAGUGAGGUACUGAACACUGAGCCAGUAUGAAGCUUCAUCUCUGAGGUACUGAACACUGAGCCAGUAUAAAGCUUCAUCUCUGAGUUAGUGAGGCACUGAACACUGAGCCAGUAUAAAGCUUCCUCUUUGAGGUACUGAACACUGAGCCAGUAUAAAGCUUCCUCUUUGAGGUACUGAACACUGAGCCAGUAUAAAGCUUCAUCUCUGAGGCACUGAACACUGAGCCAGUAUAAAGCUUCAUCUCUGAGGUACUGAAAACUGAGCCAGUAUAAAGCUUCAUCUCUGAGGUACUGAAAACUGAGCCAGUAUAAAGCUUCAUCUCUGAGGUACUGAACACUGAGCCAGUAUAAAGCUUCAUCUCUGAGGUACUGAACACUGAGCCAGUAUAAAGCUUCAUCUCUGAGCUAGUGAGGCACUGAACACUGAGCCAGUAUAAAGCUCCCUCUUUGAGGUACUGAACACUGAGCCAGUAUAAAGCUUCCUCUUUGAGGUACUGAACACUGAGCCAGUAUAAAGCUUCCUCUUUAAUUUCUUAUUUCUAAUGUUUUUAUUUUUAGUUAUAAUAUUUUGAUAUUGAUUACUGCACUGUUGGGUAGAGCUCGCAAGUUAAGCAUUUCACUGUACUUAUGCACGUGACAAUAAAACGUGUGCACGUGACAAUAAAACGUGUGCACGUAGCCUCCCGGGUGGUGCAGUGGUCUAGGGCGCCUGCAUCGCAGUGCUAGCUGUACCACCAGAGACUCUGGGUUCGAGCCCAGGCUCUGUCGCAGCCGGCCGCGACCGGGAGGUCCAUGGAGCGAUGCACAAUUGGCCUAGCGUCGUUCGUGUUAGGGGAGGGAUUGGCCGGUAGGGAUAUCCUUGUCUCAUCGCGCACUAGCGACUCCUGUGGCGGGCCGGGCGCAGUAGACGCUAACCAGGUCACCAGGUGCACGGUGUUUCCUCCGACACAUUGGUGCGGCUGGCUUCCGGGUUGGAUGCGCGCUGUGUUAAGAAGCAGUGCGGCUUGGUUGGGUCGUGUGUAUCGGAGGACGCAUGUCUCUUGACCUUCGUCUCUCCCGAGCCCUUACGGGGUUGUAGCAUGAGAAAAGAUCGUAACUACUAACAAUGGAUACCAUAAAUAGGGGGUAAAAUUCAAAAUAAAUGUAAAGAUUUUUUAAACGUGUGCACGUGACAAUAAAAGUGCGAGGCAACGUUUUUGUCCUAGUGCAUUCUAUCCAACUCCUAGAAUGAAUGAGUAGAAAGGGGGAAAGCCCGUCUGAACCACGCAUUUGACAGGUAAACUCCUAGAACAUUUAUUUCUACGCUCCUUUAGAAAAGGGACUGUGGACUUGGCACAUGAAGACAUGAUGUUAAUUGUAACCCCCAGACUUGAUAUACAGACAUACUGUAAACUGGGAUCAUUGUAGAUUAGGCGAUUGGGUGGCUACAGGAAAAGUGGCCAGCUGAGAGAACACAGCAAGGCAGGUCACACACACAACAAACCGUGUACAAGGCCCCGGACAGCUCAAUAUACAUCAAUGGGCCAAGGCAGGGCACACACGUCAGAAAGGGCAAACAAACACAAACAACGGGAGUGAGAGUGAGCGCUGUGAGAACACACACACACGCACACACACCAACACCACCACACACACCAACACCACACACACACUCCCACACACACCAUAACCCCACACACACCACCACACCACGCUACACACACCAAACU
ensembl:lncRNA